ACAACUACCUGGAUAAUAUAUGGAAUGAAAAAAUAGAUCCAGCCCAAAUUAAACAACGAAUUGAGGAAAUUCAUAAAAACUGUCCGGCCAACGGAAAAAACGAUAAUUUCAAUAUUUUGAAGUCAUCGGUUGGCAAAUUAUUGCAGACAUUAUUUUUCAAAAUAUUGAACUGGAAACCUUUAUCACGCAACUGUGAGCACAUUGCUACUUAUAUACGUUAUGGAAUAGAGCUGUCAUUGCAGCGUGGUCAGUCCGUUGAAAACAAGGUCGAGAAUCUGAAGAUCAGUAAAGAAAUGCUCAAAGAAAUUAAAGAAAAACUUUGUGCCAAAUCCUGUGAGGAGGUUUGCCCCCUAGACGCCGCCCCCAACGCUGGUUAAGAGUCUGAAAAGGAAUUAAUGAUUUCCUUUGGAAGAUGUCAGCGGAUUCUUAUCAAUAAACGGCAUGAAAAAAUGA